UAAGUCCCGUAACGAGCGCAACCCUUGUCCUUAGUUACCAGCACCUCGGGUGGGCACUCUAAGGAGACUGCCGGUGACAAACCGGAGGAAGGUGGGGAUGACGUCAAGUCAUCAUGGCCCUUACGGCCAGGGCUACACACGUGCUACAAUGGUCGGUACAAAGGGUUGCCAAGCCGCGAGGUGGAGCUAAUCCCAUAAAACCGAUCGUAGUCCGGAUCGCAGUCUGCAACUCGACUGCACGGCG
rnacentral:rRNA from 1 species